rnacentral:rRNA from 1 species
UACGUAGGUGACAAGCGUUGUCCGGAUUUAUUGGGCGUAAAGCGCUCGCAGGUGGUCCGCUGCGUCGUGCGUGAAAGACCCCGGCUCAACUGGGGAGGGUCGUGCGAUACGGGCGAACUGGAGGCCAGUAGGGGGAUGCGGAAUUCCGGGUGUAGUGGUGGAAUGCGUAGAGAUCCGGAGGAACACCAGCGGCGAAGGCGGCAUCCUGGACUGGUCCUGACACUCAUGAGCGAAAGCGUGGGGAGCGAUCCGG